GUCCCCAGCCACAGAACAUCUGAAAGUGAGCAGUUUUCUCGACAUUGAGGGAUGGAACAACCCUUCACAGGACACAGCUGAGGAAAAUGGGAAAACUCAAGUCAUGUCAACCCUCAUAAGGACACUGAGGGGGCCCGUUUUCCCAGCUGUGGAUCAUGCUGGAGUACAGUAAAAAAACUUGAAAAUGAAUGAAUGAAAAUGAAUGUUACAAUGACAAUAAAGAUCAUCUGUCUAUAUCUUA